rnacentral:rRNA from 1 species
GACGAACGCUGGCGGCGUGCCUAAUACAUGCAAGUCGAACGAGAGCGACCGGUGCUUGCACUGGUCAAUCUAGUGGCGAACGGGUGAGUAACACGUGGGUAACCUGCCCAUCAGAGGGGGAUAACAUCCGGAAACGGAUGCUAAAACCGCAUAGGUCUUCGAACCGCAUGGUUUGAAGAGGAAAAGAGGCGCAAGCUUCUGCUGAUGGAUGGACCCGCGGUGCAUUAGCUAGUUGGUGAGAUAACGGCUCACCAAGGCCGUGAUGCAUAGCCGACCUGAGAGGGUGAUCGGCCACAUUGGGACUGAGACACGGCCCAAACUCCUACGGGAGGCAGCAGUAGGGAAUCUUCCGCAAUGGACGCAAGUCUGACGGAGCAACGCCGCGUGAGUGAAGAAGGUUUUCGGAUCGUAAAACUCUGUUGUUAGAGAAGAACAAGUGCUAGAGUAACUGUUAGCGCCU